rnacentral:rRNA from 1 species
GACGAACGCUGGCGGCGUGCUUAACACAUGCAAGUCGAACGGAAAGGCCCUGCUUUUGUGGGGUGCUCGAGUGGCGAACGGGUGAGUAACCCGUGAGUAACCUGCCCUCGACUUUGGGAUAACUUCCGGAAACUGCCGCUAAUACCGGAUAGGAGCUCCUGCUGCAUGGUGGGGGUGGGAAAGUUUCGGCGGCUGGGGAUGGACUCGCGGCUUAUCAGCUUGUUGGUGGGGUAGUGGCUUACCAAGUCUUUGACGGGUCGCCGGCCUGAGAGGGUGACCGGCCACAUUGGGACUGAGAUACGGCCCAGACUCCUACGGGAGGCAGCAGUGGGGAAUAUUGCACAAUGGGCGGAAGCCUGAUGCAGCAACGCCGCGGGCGGGAUGACGGCCUUCGGGUUGUAAACCGCUUUCGCCGGUGACGAAGCGGGAGUGACGGUAAUGGGUAAAGAAGCACCGGCUAACUACAUG